AGUGAACGCUGGCGGCGUGCCUAAUACAUGCAAGUCGAACGGAGUGGCGCACGGGUGAGUAAUAUAUAGGUAAUCUGCCCCUUGCUGGAGGUCAACAGUUAGAAAUGUCUGCUAAUACUCCUUAGCAUGGGAUGAGACUAUAUCGUAUCAGCUAGUCGGUGAGGUAACGGCCUACCGAGGCUAUGACGCGUAACUGGUCUGAGAGGAUGAUCAGUCACAUUGGACUUGAGACCCGGUCCAAAAUCCUACGGGAGUCAGCAGUAGGGUAUAUUGCGCAAUGGGGGCAACCCUGACGCAGCAACGCCGCGUGGAGGAUGACACUUUUCGGAGCGGAAACUCCUUUUGUUAGGGAAGCGGUACCUAACGAAUAAGCACCGGCUAACUCCGUGCCAGCAGCCGCGGUAAUUC
rnacentral:rRNA from 1 species